CCGCCAGAGAACUACAAGUGAAAAACUUUAAACUCAAAGGACUUGACGGUGUCCCAUAUCGACCUAGAGGAGCCUGUCCUAUAAUCGAUACCCCUCGUUCCACCCAACCUCAACUAGCACAACUACAGCCUAUAUACCGCCGUCGACCAGCCUACCCUAUGAAGGCCCAACAGUAGACACAAUAGCCCCAUCGCUAAUACGUCAGGUCAAGGUGUAGCAAUGUUGAGGAAGAGAUUGGCUACAUUUUUUGUAACAAAAAAUACGAAAAGCACAAUGAAAUCAUGCUUGAAGGUGAAUUUAGUAGUAAACU
rnacentral:rRNA from 1 species